ACUAGUCUCAAUAGCCUUUAUUUGUAAGUUUGGUGGACUCUCAAUGUAUAAUAUAAUGCUUGUGCCAAUGCUUUUCAAUCUUGACUCUUCUAAAGUAUGUUUGUAGAUUGAGUCCUAAGUAUUUGUUUUUUGUUUGUUUGUUUGUUUGUUGUCUAUUUUUCUUUUUAUUGGUACCGGGGGUCAAACUCAUGACCGCCUGCUUGCAAGGCAGGUGCUUAUGCCGCUGAGCUAAAUCCCCAGCCCCUGAUUCCUAAGUAUUUCUUUUUUUGGUAUUAUGCUAUUGUGAAGGAUGUGGUUCCCCUAACUUCUCUUUUAGUGAGUUUGUUGUUGGUGUACAGGAAUACUGUUGAUUUGCAAGUGUUAAUCUUUGUAUCCAGCUAAAUUUGGUUAUUAAAUCUACAAGUCUUUUGAUGUAGGUUUUGGGAUCUCCUAUUUUCUUUCCCAUCCUUACUCCUUUACUUUCUUUUUCUUGUCUAAUUGCUCUGGCUAAUGUUUCCAGAACUAUAUUCAAUAGAGUUCCUGAUUUUUAGAGUGAAAGUUUUAAAUUGUUGACCAUUUAAUAUGAUGUUGGCUGUUGGUUAGUCAUAGAUGGCAUUUUUUAGAUUUAGGUGAAGACCCAUCUAUGCAGUUUUCUAUAUAGGAUUUUUUUUUUUUAAAUGAAUGGGUGUUGAACUUUGUCAAAUGCUUUUUCUGCAUCUGUUGAGAUGAUCAUGUGAUUUUUGUCUUUGGCUCUCUUGAUAUAGUGUAGUAUUACAUUGAAAAUUACUCUGAAUAAGGUGAUUGAAGAGGACAUCAGACAAUGUAAAGAUAACCCCUGCUCAUGGAUAGGAAGCACCAACAUAGUGAAAAUGGCCAUACUCCCAAAAUUGUUACACAGAUUUAAUGUAAUCCCAAUCAAGAUUUACUAGCAUACCUCACAGAAUUAGAGAAAACAUUCCUAAAAGCCAUUUGGAACCAGAAGAGGCUUAACAGCUCUCACCAACAAAGGCAAGGUGGGAGUUAGCACAAUCCCUGACUUGAAAUUAUGCUUCAGAGCUACUGGAAUUAAAAAUAGCAUAGUAUUGACAAAUUAAAAACAAAACAAAAGACCUGAGGAUCAAUGGAACAGAAGAUUCAGAAACAACUCUAUAAGCACACUUAACCCCUUAAUCUUUUGUUUUGUUUUGUUUUAGCCCCUUAAUCUUUGACAAAAUAGCCAAAUACCUUCACUGGAAGGAAGAUGGGCUCUUUAAUAAAUGAUGCUGGAAAAAACUGGCUUUCUGCUUGCCACAGAUUAAAACCAGACCCAUGUCUAUCACCAUGUACUAAACUAAAAUCAAAAUGGAUCAAAAGACCUAAAUAUUAAAACAGAAACACUGAGUCAGCUGGAAUAGAGAAUAGGCAGAAUGCUUGAAGGCAUAUGUGUAAGCAAAGAUUUCAUGAACAAAGCCCCAGCUGAGUGAGAAAUUAUAUAAAGAAUCAAACCUGGGGUCAUCUUAUUAAAAAGCUUUUGCAUAGCUAAAGAAAUCACCACCAGAGUGAAAAGACAAUUUGCAGAGUGGGAAAAUAUUUUAGCCAAUUGUCCCUUCGACACAGGGCUUACAUCCAGAACAAGUAAAGAAUUGAAAAAAAUCAGACACCCCCCCCCAAAUCUAAAGAUCCAGUCCACAAGUGGGCAUCUGAGAUGAAUAUUUACUUCUCAGAUGAAGAACCACAAGCAACAAAUAAAUGCAUAAAGAAGUGUUGAACAUCACUGGUUAUUCGAGAGAUCAACCAAUAACACGCUGGAGGGGCUGUGGGGAAAAGGAAGCCUUCCCCAUUGUUGAUGGGAAUAUAAACUGGGAGCAGGGAGCUCAGGGAGCAACUCACUGAGGAGAUUCCUCAAAAAACUAGGAUUAGAGGUCCUGUUUGACCCAGCUGUUCCCCUUCUGGGUAUUUUCCCAAAAGAACUAAAAAUAUAACCACUGCAAUAGAUGUGCACCUAUGUUUAUAGCAGCAGAGUUUGUAAUAGCGAAAUCUUGGAAGCAACCCAGAUGUCCAUCAGUCAUGGAAUGGAUAAAAAAGAUGGUAUUUUUAUAUGAUGGAACGCUACUUGGCCAUAAAGAAGGAUAAACUUGCUGGGGGUAUAGUAUAGUUCAGCGACAGAAUGCCAGCCUGGCAAGCGUGAGAUCAUGAAUUUCAUUCCUGGUACAAAAGAAAAAAAAAGGAAGAAAAAGAAGGAUAAACUUGAGAUAUUUCUAGGUAAAUGGGUAUAAUUUGAGACCAUACCCUUACUCAAAUGUAUAAAUAUGCCUUGUCUCUCUGGUGUAAAAAACUGAAAGAGUAAAUAAGGACCAAACUAUACAAUAAUAUUGUGAAAUGAGAAGAAAUUGUUCAAAAGGAAAGAGGAACUAGGGAGGAGAAAGGGAAAAGGAAAAAAUUAAUAAAAGAAUAGGUGUGGAGCAUCUGCCUAUAUAGUGCCAGCACUCAGUAGACUGAGGCAGCAACAUUGCUUUGAGUUCAAGGCUAGGUGUCACAUAGUGAGACUUUGUAUCUUAAAGAAAACAGAAAAGGAUAAGUGAAAACAAAACUGUGUCAAUAGAGGAAGAGGGGUUGAAGGGAAGAAAGGGGAUUGGGAAAAGACAAUCAAAAUAUCAUGUACAGGUACAAAAUCCCUAUGAUGAAUAUGGUCAUUAUGUUUAUCUAAAUGUACCAAUAAACUUAAAAGUUUGAAAAAUAAAUAAAUCUGUAACCGAAGCAAGGUAUUACAUAAAUGUAAAUCCCAGUUUCCCAGUUACUUAGGAGGCUGAGACCCCCAAGAUUAUAACAAAUUCAAGCCCAACCCAGUAUAAUUUAGUGAAAUGCUGUCUCAAAACGCAAAAAAAAAAAAAAAAAAAAAAAAAAAAGGAAAGAAAAAGAAAAGAAA